AGGCCAAAGCUUUUGUAAUUUACAGAGAGCAUUUGUCACUCCGGAAGUGGUAUAGGAGUGUGUUACCACCUACUCGACCCAAAACGGACCUGGUGCAAACAACUCCAAGGUUCGUGACUGUCUGUAGAAAUUUCCAGUCUUUGCUUUGUAUGUCUAGAUGAACUUUCCAAAAAGCUGAAGUAAAAUACUUACUGGUCUUGCUGCUGCAUUAGACAGGAAAGAUGUUGUGAGUGAUGUGAUGAAUAUAUACAUACUUUUAUUGUAACUUUAAAGGGAAUUCAAGUUUACUCCAAGUUCAGUGGCCGCUUUGACCUACUUACUCCCACGCAGAGAGGCCUGCAGGCAGACUUGGGGUCAAUAAGAAACCUUGAUUCAUUGGGACUGUUCUUGCCCUGCCUUCAGAAAGAGUUUCCCUUUCUAGAAAUAGAGCGGCUUGUGUGAGUGUCACUGGGAUAGGAGGGAGAAUGCCGGGUCACAAUGGGUCGGGGGACAGCGUGGGUGUAGAUUUGCUAUGAAGUUCGAGGUCCGUGCUGGAGGGCUGCGGUUAGAGCUGAGAAGUAAGCAGUGGCCCUCCCUUCGGUGCCGCACAGAGAUGUCCACCGACCUUCCCCUCCUGCGUGCCUGGAGCGCUAUCCUGGGCAGCCGCAGGACUGUGUGUCGCCCCCUCCCUCAGCGCUCACCCGGAGCGCCCGCGUCUCCUUCGCUUGCGGUUUCUGGUCGGCUCCCAGCUGGCCCAGACUUGCUCUAAAGUAGGAGGAACCGCUGUCGAGCGAAAAGUGCACACCGGCACCAACAAAGCAGGAAGGGCAGAGGAUUCAUCCAUCAGGCCUUGUGCUAUCCAUCCAGACUUUCUGAGAGAGAAAUCUACAAGAGCCAGCCCUUAAAAGUGUGGCUUAGUUUCUCAAAGAAGGACCAAAGUUUUGUCAAGAACACCCAGAUGAAGACCUUCCUAGACCUGUAAACUGGGAUUACCAAGUUCUUGACUUCACAAGGAAGUUUCAACCAAUUCUGAUGGAACAACCAGAGAGGCCCAAAUGACUGCCACCCAUGAGCCAAGGACCUGAUCUCUUUCCUUUAGACCUAAUACUCUACCGGAGAUCCACAACCUUCCUAAUCCCCACCCCCUCCUCGUCCCGCCCCCGCGCCUCAAAAACUAUGGAGAAAAAGAAGGUGUGCCCAAGGCUGGACCGAAGUCAUCCUGCCCCUUCUUCAAAAGAGAGACACCUCCCAAGGCCAACGCCCUCCGGAGGGGCCCAGGUGCUCCUCCCUUCUGGCAUCUAUUCCGUCUGGCAUCUAUUCCGUCUGGCAUCUAUUCCUCUGCAAAGGAUCAGAAAGGAAGCCGCUGGCUCAAUGGAUUCUGGAUUUCGGGUAGACCUGACUGCUUUGGGGCAUCCUCAAUCGGGCGGUGAAGCCUCUGGGGGCAGAGGAGCGUCGUGGGAGAGGAGCGUCGUGGGAGAAAGACAAGCUAGGCUGCUGCUUCCCUACCCAUGCCAACUUCCCGGGUCUCGUCUUGAAACAAGAGCAGAGGCCUGAGACCCGGGCGCCAUUGCUGGCCAGGCUCCCCUCCCCCACACUCCUUUCUUUGCUUCUCGAAGACCCGGGAGGGAGGAGGCGGCGAGCGCCUCGGUGGAUAGAGCUGCUAUUGUGACCUUCCCGGGCUAAGCGGGGAACCCAGCGGAGUGUGUACUGCCCGCGGUGGCGGGGGAGGAGGUGACUGUGUGCAAGCCUCGAGUGCAGAGGGGGUGGCACCCGGGAAUAAAUAAAGGCUUGCAACCUCGGGCACUUG
rnacentral:lncRNA from 1 species